rnacentral:tRNA from 1 species
UCUUGGUUGCUCAGAUGGUAAAGAAUCCACCUGCAAUGCGGAAGACCCAGGUUUGAUCCCUGGAUUGGGAG